GUGAGUGCUCUUCACCACAGGAGGCAAUCUCUUCUGCCUCUUGGGGACCUGGUCCCAUCCUUGCCAGAGUCUGUCACACAGAUGUCCUCACUUCUCUAGGAAGAAACAAGGGUGUGGCCAGCCUUCCACCAAAGAAAUAACAAACACCGAAAUCAGGAAUGGUGAAGACAAGCCAAAUCACAAUGUUGUCACUCUCGCACUGGGAAGGUGACUUUAACAACCUGCUGACAUCAAUGGCAUGGAAGCACUGGCACCAUAUGGCCAGGGGAGUGUGCUUGCCAACUGGGUGGCCCCACCAACGACCGUGCUACAGGUGCAAAGCCAACUAAGCAGAAGGGCAGCGAGUGGGUUUCCGACUGUCUGAAGACAGUUGCCACUCACAGUGAAGAACUGUGGAGACAUUCAAAAGCCAGCGCUUCUUUCCCCGCCUUAUUAAAAAAUAAAAUCAAAUCUGAGAAUGUGUUCCCAGUACCACAUGGGACAAACUGGAGUUUUAGUUAUUUCUUGCCAUGUGUAUUCCGAAGAGGGAAUGAAGUAUCGGGAGCAUGGCAUUCCUAUGGAGGAAUGGGUCUUGAUGUUCAAAGUAAACUAAAUUUGCCCUUUUGCUAGCAGCGGAGAGACUAGCUUUAAGGAUAUAACAUCACAGGAGUGAAUGAAAUGUGAAAAUUAUGUCUGUCACCAAAGAGAAGGAUGACAUCAUGAGGCUUGACCCAUGACUUGUCACUCUUUCUAAAUUAAUGCCUCUGUGAAGGAAGACUACACAAGGGAUCGUCACCUGCUCCAUAAGCUGCUGGCCCACAUUGCCACUUGGAGCUGCAGGUUCUGGUAGGACUGACUCACCUGUGAAUUU